GUGAGUCAUCGAAUCUUUGAACGCACCUUGCGCCCCUUGGCUAUUCCGAGGGGCAUGCCUGUUUGAGUAUCAUGAACACCUCAACUCUCAUGGUUCGCCGUGACGAGCUUGGACUCUUGGGGGUAUUGCUGGCCUGCGGUCAGCUCCUCUCAAACGAAUCAGCUCUCCAGUGUUUGGUGGCAUCGCAGGUGUGAUAACUAUCUACGCUUGUGGUUUUCUACCAGGUAGCCUUCAGUGAUGGAGGUUCGCUGGAGCUCAUAAAUGUCUCUCCUCAGCGAAGACGGUCUCGUGAACGUUUGAUCUCAAAUCAGGUAGGACUACCCGCUGAACUUAAGCAUAUCUAAGCGGAGG
rnacentral:rRNA from 1 species